GAUGAACGCUGGCGGCGUGCCUAAUACAUGCAAGUCGAGCGAACGGACGAGAAGCUUGCUUCUCUGAUGUUAGCGGCGGACGGGUGAGUAACACGUGGAUAACCUACCUAUAAGACUGGGAUAACUUCGGGAAACCGGAGCUAAUACCGGAUAAUAUUUUGAACCGCAUGGUUCAAAAGUGAAAGACGGUCUUGCUGUCACUUAUAGAUGGAUCCGCGCUGCAUUAGCUAGUUGGUAAGGUAACGGCUUACCAAGGCAACGAUGCAUAGCCGACCUGAGAGGGUGAUCAGCCACACUGGAACUGAGACACGGUCCAGACUCCUACGGGAGGCAGCAGUAGGGAAUCUUCCGCAAUGGGCGAAAGCCUGACGGAGCAACGCCGCGUGAGUGAUGAAGGUCUUCGGAUCGUAAAACUCUGUUAUUAGGGAAGAACAUAAGUGUAAGUAACUGUGCACAUCUUGACGGUACCUAAUCAGAAAGCCACGGCUAACUACGUG
rnacentral:rRNA from 1 species